rnacentral:rRNA from 1 species
UACGUAGGGCGCAAGCGUUGUCCGGAAUUAUUGGGCGUAAAGAGCUCGUAGGCGGCUUGUCACGUCGGAUGUGAAAGCCCGGGGCUUAACCCCGGGUCUGCAUUCGAUACGGGCUAGCUAGAGUGUGGUAGGGGAGAUCGGAAUUCCUGGUGUAGCGGUGAAAUGCGCAGAUAUCAGGAGGAACACCGGUGGCGAAGGCGGAUCUCUGGGCCGAAACUGACGCUGAGGAGCGAAAGCUAGGGGAGCGAACGGG